rnacentral:rRNA from 1 species
UACGAAGGGGGCUAGCGUUGCUCGGAAUCACUGGGCGUAGAGCGCACGUAGGCGGACUCUUAAGUCAGGGGUGAAAUCCUGGAGCUCAACUCCAGAACUGCCUUUGAUACUGAGAGCCUUGAGUCCGGGAGAGGUGAGUGGAACUGCGAGUGUAGAGGUGAAAUUCGUAGAUAUUCGCAAGAACACCAGUGGCGAAGGCGGCUCACUGGCCCGGUACUGACGCUGAGGUGCGAAAGCGUGGGGAGCAAACAGG